UUUUUUUUUUUUUUUUUUUGUCUUUUUAGGGCCACACCCAUGGCAUAUGGAAGUUCCCAGACUAGGUGUCAAAUUGGAGCUGCAGCCUACACCACAGCCACAGCCACCCCAGAUCUAAGGUGCAUUUGUGACCUACAUUGCAGCUCAUGGCAACACCAGAUCCUUAACCCACUGAGCGGGGCCAGGGAUUGAACACAAAUCCUCAUGGAUAGUCAUGUUCAUCACCCCUGAGCCACAAAAGAGACUCCCUCGAUAUUCUGUAAUAACCUAUGAGGAAACAGAAUAUGAAAAAGAGGGGGUUCCCUGGUGGUCUAGUGGAUAGGAUUCAGGUGCUUUCACUGCUGUGGCCUGGGUUCAAUUCUUGGUCUGGGAACUGAGAUCCCACAUCAAGCUGCUACUUGCUGCAGCCAACAACAACAAAAGAAUCUGAAAAAGAAUAUAUAAAAGAUACAUGCACCCCUAUGUUCAUUGCAGCAGUAUUCACAAUAGCCAAGACAUGGAAACAACCUAAAUGCCCAUCAACAGAAUGGAUUAAGAAGAUUUGGUACAUAUAUACAAUGGAAUACUACACAGCCAUAAAAAGGAGAAUAAUGCCAUUUGCAGCUACACAAUUGUAACUAGAAAUUCUCAUAAUAUGUGAAGUCAGUCACAAAAAGAAAGACAAAUACCAUAUGAUAACACUUAUAUGUGGCAUCUAAAGUAUGGCACAAAUGACAUUAUCUACAGCACAGAAACAGACUCAUGGAUAUAGAGAACAGACUUGUGGUUGCCAAGGGGGAGAGGGAGGGAGGGAGUGGGAUGGAUGAGGAGUUUGGGGUUGGAAGAUGCAAACUAUUACAUUUAGAAUGGAUAAGUAAUGAGGUCCUACUGUACAGCACAGGGAACUAUGGCCAAUCUCUUGGGAUAGAACAUGAUGGCAAAAAAACCACAAAAAAACAAAACACAAACAAACAAACAAACAAAAAACCACAAACGGAGUUCCUGUCGUGGUGCAGUGGAAACCAAUCCAACUAGGAACCAUGAGGUUGCAGGUUCGAUCCCUGGCCUCGCUCAGUGGGUUAAGGAUCCGGUGUUGCCGUGAGCUGUGGCAUAGGUCGCAGAGGUGGCUUGGAUCUGUCAUUGCUGUGGCAGUGGCGUAGGCUAAAAGGUGAAGCUCCGAUUAGACCCCUAGCCUCGGAACCUCCAUAUGCCACAGUGUGGUCCUAAAAAAAAGACAAAAAUAAAAAAAAACAACAUGAUGGGAGACAACAUGAGAGAAAAAGUAUAUCUAUCUAUCUAUCUAUAUGUAUAACUGGGUCAUUUUGCUGUAGAGCUGAAAUUGAUACAAUACUGUAAAUCAACUAAAAAAAAAUUUUAGGAGUUCCUUUCGUGGCUCAGUGGUUAACGAAUCCGACUAGGAACCACGAGAUUGCGGGUUCUAUCCCUGGCCUUGCUCAGUGGGUGAACGAUCGGGCGUUGCCGUGAACUGUGGUGUAGGGACGCGGCCUGGAUCCCUCAUUGCUGUGGCUUUGGUGUAGGCUGGCGGCUACAGCUCCAAUUAGACCCCUAGCCUAGGAACCUCCAUGUGCUGCAAAAAGACCUCCCCCCUCAAAAAAAAAAUUAAAAAAAAAAAUAUACAUAUAAACUGAAUCACUUUGCUGUAUACCUGAAAAUAACACAACAUUGAGAAUGCUGUGUAUUUCAAUUAAAAAAAAAAGGAGUUCCCGUUGUGGCACAGAGAAAACGACCAGUAUCUAUGAGGAUGUGGGUUUGAUCCCUGGCCUUGCUCAGUGGAUUGGCGAUCUGGCAUUGCUGUGAGCUGUGGGGCAGGUCACAGACUUGGUGUAGAUCCCUCAUUGCUAUGGCUGUAAUGUAGGCCAGCAGCUGCAGCUCUGAUUUGACUCCCCUGGGAACUUCCACACGCUGCAGGCACGGCUCUAAAACACACACACACACACACACAAAAAGAAAAGAAAGACAAUCCCAAGGAUAAGCCUUUUUACUGUAGGUGUGUCACUGUAAUGUCACUGCCCUCUGAUUUUUCAAAGCUCUAAUCAUGGUCCCCUUAUAAACUCUCACCUGGUGUUUUGCCAAUAGACCCAACAACCUCUCCCUAAGGAAAAUCACCUUUCAGCUGAGUUUUCAAAGACCCCACUUCAGAGUUCCUGUUGUGGCUCAGUGGGUUAAGAACCCGAAUAGUAUUCAUGAUAUGUGGGUUCAAUCCCUGGCCUCACUCAGUGGGUUAAGGAUCCAGUGUUGCUGUGAGCUGUGGUGUAGGUCACAGAUGCGGCUAGGAUCCUGAGGUGCUGCAGUUGUGGUGUAGGCUGGCAGCUAUAGCUCUGAUUUGACCCCUAGCCUGGGAACUCCCAUAUGCCAUAGGUGAGGCCCUAAAAAGAAAAGAAAAGAAAGAAAGAAAUAAAAGGCCCCACUUUGGAGAUCCUGCUGUGGCUCAGUGGAAACAAAAUCUGAUUAGUAUCCACGAGGAUGCAGAUUCAAUCCCUGGUCUCGCUCAGUGGAUUAAGGAUCCGGUGUUGCCGUGAGCUGGGGUGUAGGUCACAGACUCGGCUCCCAUCUGGUGUUGCUGUGGCUGUGCUGUAGCUCAGAUUUGACCCCUAGCCUGGGAACUUCCAUAUGCUGAGGGUGGGACCCUAAAAACACAAAAACAAAAACAAAAAAUAGAAAUAAGCUCUGAGCAAACUUCUUCAUCAUGACGUGCUGGGCUGUGUUGGGAGAAGGUUCCAAGUCACUGCAGCCCAUCCUUCAUCCCUUGCAGAGAACAAUCGAGGGGGACCUGAGGCAAACAGCUUACUAUCACUUCACAGCUCGCUAUUUUAACAGAUUAAAAAGAAAGAGGAGGAGAGAAAAAACAUGAGACUAACCGGUUAAACUAGGUUUGACCGUUAAGAUAAAAGAUCACCAACAUCCUUACCAAGUAGUACACAACGGAAUAAGCUAAAUUUAUUUACUAGGUUCCAAAGAAUGUUUCCAACAAAGAGGAGAGAGCCCACAGGCCCCGUCUGAACUGGACACAAUUUAAAAGAGAAAUAGUUUGGAGUUCCCUGACGGCCUGGCAGGUAAGGGUGCAGGAACUCUGCCAUGCUGCAGACUCAGACAAAACAACAAACAAACAAACAAAACGGAAAGUGAAUUCUACCAAACAUAUAAGGAAGAACUUACACUGAUCCUUCUUCUCACACUCUUCCAAAAGAAUGAAGGCAAAAGAACACGCCCCAAAACAAGGACACUAACACAAAAACAAACUGCAGGCCAAAAUCUUUGGUGAAUAUAGAUACAAAAAUCUUCAUAAAAUACUAGCAAACUGAAUCCAGUAUACUUAAAAGCCUGGAAGCCUUACAGUAAAGCCCUCAGGCACUAACACUAGAAGUCAGCAUACAAACCCCAACAGGAAGACAUCAACGACUGGCCUCAAAGGAAUUAUUCUCCUUGUCCAGCAACAAGCCCAGCCAAUGAGAAACACCUUGUGCCUCCAACAGUCCACUUUCCUCCAAUGGGCUUUUGUGCAGAACAACUACUCCCACCUUCCCCCUUUUUCUCUAGAAAGCAAUAUUCCUCUCCUUUGCUUGCUGGGACUUCCCUGUGGUUUCUGCUACUUUUCCAGUCCUGUAUUGUGAUUCCUUAAGGAACCCGUGCUGCUGGUUUAUUGUUUUAUAAUAACUCGUACUGUGUCUUUCCACGUUCCUCAUCUAUCCUUCACUGUGCCAGCUGUUUAUGGUUGUCCUUCAUUCUUUUCUCUUUUUCUACUUCUGAGUUCUCUUGACCAGAAAUGGGAUAUGUGGAUGAAGCAUGUCUCCUGCCACAUCAGUAAACAAAGGAUGCGGUGGCUCUCAGUGGAUGCAGCCUCCCCACCCUGCCUCACUUGGGACUGUGCACUCUGAGGGGACUCAGGAUGGAGAAAAGCAGAAUGCUGGCCUUGGACAGUCAAGGUGCAUAUCCAAGGAAGGAUUUCCAAGAGCCCAGACUUUACCACCUUCCCAUACACUGAAAAGCAGUAAAUUCAUUAACUUGACAUUUCUGGUUUUCUUUAACACUUAACUUUUUUUUUUUUUUAAGUGCCACACCCGCAGCAUACGGAGGUUCCCAGGCUAGGGGUUAUAGCCGCUGGCCUACACCACAACCACAGCAAGGACAGACUGAAGCCGCGUCUGCAAGACUACACCACCUCUCAGGGCAAUGCAGGACCCUUCACCCACUGAGUGAGGUCAGGGAUCAAACCUUUGUCCUCAUGGUUCCUAGUCAGAUUCGUUUCCGCUGAGCCACGAUGGGAACUCCAACACGAAUCUUUGGAUGCGCCAACUAACUGGAUUGUUGUUGUGGCUUUUUUCGUUUUGUUUUUGCAAAACUCCUAUACACCCUCGGCUCCUCCUUCACCUCUUGGGAGCAGUCCCUCAGAGAGGCUGUGGCUGGGCUUAAGUCCGCAGUUUUGGUUUUUUGAUUGUAAGUUGAUUUACAAUGUUGUGCCAACUGCUGCUGUACAAUAAAGUGAACCAUGCAUACACACACGCUCUUUUUCUCAUAUUAUCUUCUACCAUGUUCUUAUCCAAAAGCCUAUAGUUCCCUUGUGCUGUACAGUAGGACCUCACCGCUUAUCCAUUCUAAAUGCAAUAGUUUGCAUCUACCAACCCCAAGUCCUCAGUUUUAUCUGCCAAAUAUAACAUAAUUCUCAACUUCUAGGUGAUACCUGUUUAGUCAACAGAAAGGAUUAGAUGCCCGUUUAUUAAUUCCACAGCAACAGAGCACGUUAUCGAGUGGGGUAGAAUUUGGGGCAGAAAAAUUCUGAGUGUCUCAAGACAGGCCCGUUUUAGCUUCUUUCCCCAACUGCAAGGUGAGGAGAGACAGAGACUAAAAAGGAGGGGCCUGGGAACCAGAACAUCCCGGCUGUGGAGUGUGCGAGGCGAAGGAAAGUGGGUGUGUUUCUGGAACGGAGCGGGCUCUCCAGAAUCCCGGGGCCAGAAGCAGGACGGAGCCUCUCCUGCAGCGGGGCGGUGGGCUCGCGGCCCUCCAGGGGCGGAGACGCAGAGGCAAGGGGGCGCGAGGGGCAGGGAUCCGCUCGCGGAUUUCCACAGGAAAGCGAAGCCGCAGCCCCUCCCCCUCCCGCCUCGCACGGCGACGCCUGCAUUUACUUCGUCUGCUGGACGAAGGCCGGGAUUUUAGGAUCAGUAGGACCCUCGGACCCAGAUACGGGGGACAGGGUACCGCAAACACCGGUUUAAACAAGAAAGAUGAAACUCACGCUCUCGUAGGGUGACCCUCGCUCC
rnacentral:lncRNA from 1 species